rnacentral:rRNA from 1 species
CCUACGGGUGGCAGCAGUGGGGAAUAUUGGACAAUGGGCGAAAGCCUGAUCCAGCCAUGCCGCGUGUGUGAAGAAGGCCUUCGGGUUGUAAAGCACUUUCAGUGGGGAAGAAAGCCUUGGGGCUAAUACCCUCGAGGAAGGACAUCACCCACAGAAGAAGCACCGGCUAACUCCGUGCCAGCAGCCGCGGUAAUACGGAGGGUGCGAGCGUUAAUCGGAAUUACUGGGCGUAAAGCGCGCGUAGGCGGUCUGAUAAGCCGGUUGUGAAAGCCCCGGGCUCAACCUGGGAACGGCAUCCGGAACUGUCAGGCUAGAGUGCAGGAGAGGAAGGUAGAAUUCCCGGUGUAGCGGUGAAAUGCGUAGAGAUCGGGAGGAAUACCAGUGGCGAAGGCGGCCUACUGGACUGACACUGACGCUGAGGUGCGAAAGCGUGGGUAGCAAACAGGAUUAGAUACCCUUAUAGUC